GCCGUUGUAGCUCAGUGGUAGAGCGCUUCCUUGGUAAGGAAGAGGUCGUGAGUUCAAGUCUCAUCAAUGGCU
rnacentral:tRNA from 1 species